rnacentral:rRNA from 1 species
AUGCAAGCCAUGGAUGCGAGCCAAAACGCCAUCCGCGGCGGCAUCCCAGCGCAGGUGGCGAAUGUAACGAACCUGCGGCAGUUCAACGUGAGCUACAACAAGCUGUGCGGCCAGGUUCCGGCCGCCUUGGCGAGGUUGGAUGUCUACAACUUCCAGCACAACAAGUGCCUCUGCGGCGCCCCACUCCCAAAUCCAUGCAAGAAAUAA